rnacentral:rRNA from 1 species
UGGGGGAUAUUGCACAAUGGGCGAAAGCCUGAUGCAGCGACGCCGCGUGGGGGAUGAAGGCCUUCGGGUUGUAAACUUCUUUUGCUCUGAACAAGGCGCACCAUGGGGUGUGUUGAGUGUAGGGGUUGAUUAGCGCCGGCUAACUACGUGCCAGCAGCCGCGGUAAUACGUAGGGCGCGAGCGUUGUCCGGAAUUAUUGGGCGUAAAGGGCUUGUAGGUGGCUGGUUGCGUCUGUCGUGAAAGCUCAUGGCUUAACUGUGGGUUUGCGGUGGGUACGGGCUGGCUUGAGUGCAGUAGGGGAGGCUGGAAUUCCUGGUGUAGCGGUGGAAUGCGCAGAUAUCAGGAGGAAUACCGGUGGCGAAGGCGGGUCUCUGGGCUGUUACUGACACUGAGGAGCGAAAGCAAGGGGAGCGAACAGG